AUGUUGCUUAAUGUUGAGUGGUGUGCUGACGUAUUAACAGUAGAAGCUUUGACUCUUAGAUUCGGCCUAUUCCUUGCACAAAAGGCGGGUUGCAAUCGUCUUGUCGUUAAUUCUGACAAUAUGGAGGUGAUUGAAAUAAUGGAAAAUGGAGGACAUUGGGCGGGAGCAGCGGCGGCAGCGUUCGAUUAUUGCUAUUUCAUAGCUUGUGAUUUUCCGCUUGUUAGAUUUGAACAUUGUAAUAGGGAAGCAAAUAAGGUGGCUCAUGAAAUUGCUAGGCUAGCGAAAUUUCCAGUUACUACUGACUUGUUUGAGGAGGCCGUGAGGGACAUUGUACAUUUACUUAUUGAUGAUGUAACAAUUAUUUCUAAUAAAUAA
rnacentral:rRNA from 1 species